AUUCCUUCAAUUAAUGAAAUGCAUUUGGUGUUUUUAAUCGUAUUUAUUUUACUUUAUGAGAAGGGGGAGACGCUAGGAGGGUGCAUUAAAAAAAAAAAAAAAUUCUGAAAAGCCUGCAAAAGGAUCGAAGAGUGGAAACUAUUGUUGGAGCGAGUUGGUUUUUACCUCAACAGCGCCACCUUUCGGCAAAGGUUUCUUCCUUGGAAAACAAUAUACAUCACUUAAUGAAAUCUUUGUUUGUUUUGCACAAGAGAUGUAAAAAAUCCAGAUGUUUUCUUCAGUGAGAAUUCCUGGGAAGGUGUACCAGCCUUCUUCUCUUUCUUCACCUGACAAAGACACCCAACACGGCCUCUCAGACCGGAGGUGUUUAAUAUAUAGUUUUGACACGCAUGAACAUGGGAAUGAAAGGGCUCCUUUUGGUUUUAGACAAUAGACAGAGCUAUAAAAUGAUGAUGGAGCCUGUUUUCCCCACUCUUGUCAUUUUAAGUCAAUAGAUUUCCUGGGUUUCUUCCCCCGCCCCCCCACUUUGCCUUUUCAGGGGAUAGGCAUCUCCUUAGAUUUUUGUUUUUCUUCACUUAGGGUCAGCUUUAUGAUUCGUUCUUCUGCUGUCAUCCUUUUUCAUCCUAUUCACAGCCUGUACCGGUGAGGGAAUUUGUCUCAAAAGCAUUCAGCCCUUCAAAGAUUUUUAUUGUGGUGAACUCAGAACUGAUAAACAGAAAAACAGAAACAGAAAAAGGGAACUGAUAUGGGGGCGAUCUUGAUGCGGGUUGUGUCUCUCAUGCAUGAUAACUCAGAGGACAGGCUCCUCGGUAGUGCGGUAGUGCUAACUCUGUGAAGUUUCUUCACCCUCCUUCCUAGCCCUGGAGGCGGGGUGAUUCAUAGCUCCUGUUCCAAAGGCAUUCAGCAGCCAUUCGACCUGGGAAAGAAACAGAGUUUUAGAAAAUACAGGCCAAAUGUAGAGACGCCUGUGAUUACCAGGAUGAGUAUGUCAGUGCAGGUGGCUUCUGAAUUUCUGUUUCUGAGUUUGUUUGGCUGAUGCCUAAGGAAAGGGGUCCCUUACAGCCCUGUUUUAUACCUUAGUUCUUGGUGGCAACGUGGGUGUUGCUGAUCUCUCUGAUGUGUUUUUCUGUGCACUGAAAACACCAGACAUGCUCCGUGACAUCCUCGGAGCAUCUCCCAUCAUAAUGGAGUGUUCCUAACCUGACAAAGAAUAGCAUAUUACCUC
rnacentral:lncRNA from 1 species